rnacentral:tRNA from 1 species
GCCCUAGUAGCUUAAUUGAAAGCAUCGGUCUUGUAAUCCGAAGAUUGAGGUUAAAUCCCUCCCUAGUGCC